rnacentral:rRNA from 1 species
AUUGAACGCUGGCGGCAGGCUUAACACAUGCAAGUCGAGCGAGCGGCGGACGGGUGAGUAAUGUCUGGGAAACUGCCUGAUGGAGGGGGAUAACUACUGGAAACGGUAGCUAAUACCGCAUAACAUCAGAUGUGCCCAGAUGGGAUUGGCUAGUAGGUGGGGUAAUGGCUCGCCUAGGCGACGAUCCCUCACUGGUCUGAGAGGAUGAACAGACACACGGCAACUGAGACACGGCCCAGACCCCUCCGGGAGGCAGCAGUGGGGAAUAGUGCACAAUGGGCGCAAGCCUGGUGCAGCCAUGCCGAGUGUGUGAAGAAGGCCUUCGGGUUGGAGUGGACUUUCAGCGAGGAGGCGGUACUCGCAGAAUAAGCACCGGCUAACUCCGUGCCAGCAGCCGCGGUAAUUC